GAUGAACGCUGGCGGCGUGCCUAAUACAUGCAAAUCGAGCGAACGGACGAGAAGCUUGCUUUUCUGAUGUUAGCGGCGGACGGGUGAGUAACACGUGGAUAACCUACCUAUAAGACUGGGAUAACUUCGGGAAACCGGAGCUAAUACCGGAUAAUAUUUUGAACCGCAUGGUUCAAAAGUGAAAGACGGUCUUGCUGUCACUUAUAGAUGGAUCCGCGCUGCAUUAGCUAGUUGGUAAGGUAACGGCUUACCAAGGCAACGAUGCAUAGCCGACCUGAGAGGGUGAUCGGCCACACUGGAACUGAGACACGGUCCAGACGCCUACGGGAGGCAGCAGUAGGGAAUCUUCCGCAAUGGGCGAAAGCCUGACGGGGCAACGCCGCGUGAGUGAUGAAGGUCUUCGGAUCGUAAAACUCUGUUAUUAGGGAAGAACAUAUGUGUAAGUAACUGUGCACAUCUUGACGGUACCUAAUCAGAAAGCCACGGCUAACUACGUG
rnacentral:rRNA from 1 species